rnacentral:rRNA from 1 species
GAUGAACGCUAGCGGCAGGCCUAAUACAUGCAAGGCGAGGGGUUGGCAACAACACCGUCGUACGGGUGCGUAACGCGUAUGCAACCUACCUAUCACAGGGGGAUAGCCUUUGGAAACAGGGAUUAAUACCGCAUAAAGCAGGGGCUUGGCAUCAAGAUACUGCUAAAGAUUUAUCGGUGAUAGAUGGGCAUGCGUCUGAUUAGUUAGAUGGUGAGGUAACGGCUCACCAUGACGAUGAUCAGUAGGGGGCGUCAGAGCGUGGUCCCCCACACUGGCACUGAGAUACGGGCCAGACUCCUACGGGAGGCAGCAGUAGGGAAUAUUGGGCAAUGGAUGCAAGUCUGACCCAGCCAUGCCGCGUGGAGGAAGAAGGUCCUCUGGAUUGUAAACUCCUUUUGUCGGGGAAGAAGAGUCAUCUUGCGAGGUGAUGUGACGGUACCCGAUGAAUAAGCCACGGCUAACUACGUGCC